GACAGAGGUCUCGAGCGUUAGGCGGAAUCACUGGGCUUAAAGCGUGUGUAGGUGGAUGCCUAAGUACCUUGUGAAAUCCCACGGCUUAACCGUGGAACUGCUUGGUAUACUGGGGUGUCUUGAGCCAGCUAGGGGCUACCGGAACAAAUGGUGGAGCGGUGAAAUGCGUAGAUAUCGUUUGGAACGCCAAUGGUGAAAAACAGGCGACUGGGGGAUGAGCUGACACUGAGACACGAAAGCCAGGGGAGCAAACGGGG
rnacentral:rRNA from 1 species